GAGGUCCAUCCUCCCAGGCCUUGAGAGCGUGCCUGCUUCUGUGUCUAAGGAGCUGAUGCGAUGGCGCGAGUGUCUCAUUGCCCGCGCCCCGCUCUGUUUUUUAAAUUUAUUUUUAUUUUUUCCUUUUGCUUUGCUUUGCCCAAGAGUCUUUCCCCCAAACUGAUCAUUCUUCUUCCAGCGUGUUGAUUUACCUAUUUGCUGGUGCUGUAUGAAACCAGAGAGUACAACUUUAAUUUUCCCCUUUCAGAAGCCUAAUCCUUCGAGAGAAAGGCCUCAGCCCAUGAAACAUUAAACAAUAAAAAUACCACGGGGCAGUUAGUUUCCAGGUCAGUUAAGCAUAAGGAACAGAUGGUAACAGAGAACGUUUUAUGAUUCACACUUUUACAAGUUGUUCGUGAUUCUUCCCCAUUCCCACUGGAGAUGGCUGGGUAUAAUAGCAAACUGACCGUUUAUUAAAGUUUUA
rnacentral:lncRNA from 1 species